AAUCUAACUUUUUUAAUUGUUUAAAAUGACUAAUUAUUUUUUCAUUUUUUGGUUUCUAUUCAUUUAGUUAUGAAAAUAAAAUGAGAAGUUAAAAAGAAAAAAAAAAAGAGUUGGGCUUGUGGUGCAACUAGGGUCAGACUGGAUACAUGGCCCAAUCUGGUAGCCCAUUAUGAAGAGGGAAAAGAAGAAACCCCAAGACACCCUGGAGGCGCCGUUCCAAUGUUUCUACUUUCCAACGUUACUAUUAAAGCUUCAUCUUCAUCUGCUUUCCACUUUAUAAUGUUAAACUUAAAGCUUCAUCUUCAUCUGCUUACCCUUCAUCAUUCACGAACUCUUCUUCCUCUUCUUCUUCUUCAGAAAAAAUGGAUGCCGUUCAGCCAGAGAAAAACCCGUGACCCGGUUUAGCGCUCAUACGGGUGGGUGCCGCAACCACACCAAGGUUCUCGCACGGGUGGGUGCCGUCCCGCUCCGGUGCGCCGCAAUAGUGGCCGUAGCGGCCGAGAUUGAUAACUCUGUCUAGUAGUGGAGUCUUGGGUCUUGAGAGUGUGGUCCUCUCAAGAUCUAUCAUUUAUGAAAGCCGACUCUGUCAGGGUGCAAGGAGCGCCACCGCACGGGGUCUCAAAAUUUAUAGGGCCUCAAAUUUAAUUUAUGGGCUUAAUAUAAAUUUAUUAUUAAAUAAUAGGCAAUUUCUUUAUCCACCCCAUACCUUCUUAGGAAUCACUGCGAAAUUAAACACUCUUGUAUUUCGGAAGUGCAUUUUUGAAGUCAUAAAAAAGGGGGAUUUUAGAGAUGCAUCUCUGAAAUUAUUUUUUAUUUAAAAAUAAGGUGUUUUCGGAGAUGCAUUUCCGAAAAGGUGAUUUUGGAGAUGCAUCUCCGAAAACACAUGCGUUUUGCAGUUUAAACAAAAUAGUCUCCCCCUUUUUCAUUUUACCCUAAAACACAAAAUUUUCAAUACAACAACCAUUUGCUCCUACUACUACACAAAGGGAGACCUCUAAAAUUGCUCUACAACAUUCAAAAGCUACUUUAAAGGCUACAAUCAAAGCUUCAAAUUUGAAACCAAGCAUGACUUAGACAGGGUAGGGAGACCCAGAUCGGAUCGAAUCGACGCGAGCGGACGACACAACUAGCAUCGACACGGGGAUGGGGUCGAGUACAAGUACCCGUCCAGGGAGUUAGAGUUAGACAUACUCAGUAGCAGUUGCUUAUUUAUGUUUUAUUCUUGACUUUUUUGUAUUCGGGUUGUAUUAUUUUGUCACUGAGCACUUACCUGUACAACUAUUUUUGUAUUUAUAAUAUUGGUAUUUUAUUCAUAUUUACGUGUUAUAUUUUAUUUGUAUUUAUUCUAUUCUAUUUUGUCGAUUAAUGUAAAAUAUGAGAUUAAUCAUUGU